GAACGCUUAGCAUGGCCUGAAAGUUGAGAAGGUUGUUUGGAAAAUGUUCCAUUCAUAUAGUCGAAUUUUCGUUAAGAUUCGGUAAGAUAAUAAAAAAUAACUCGGGAUAUGUUAUUUAUAUCUUCCAGUAAUGCCUUAUUUAAGGUUUUAAUAUCGUGAUGGAUCAUCCAAGCGCUAUCUUCUAAACCAGAUCCUUGUAUGGAGGUGCAGAGCCUUCUUCUCAACCAGGGAUUUCGAGGGAUAGCACCAUAUGUGAAAUUUAAAAAGAAUAUACCAGUAGUCUAAAUGAUGAUUCAUCCAAGUAUCAAAUUUAUAUGAUGCAAGAUGAGUUGAAAUUUCUAUGUCAAUCAAAAUUUAUAAUAUAUUUUGCACUAUAGGCAUUAACAAGUAAAGCUAAUUUAUCCAGUACUAUGUUCUAAACUAUAUUUAGUA